AAAGAAAAGAAAAAGAAAAAAAAAAACAGAAAGAGAGAUGAAAACUAAUUUAGGUCAGAUGUUUGAAGUACGUUCGACCCGAUUCCUUAAAAAAUAAGGAUACAUAGGCAGCCUCACGGUUCGGUCCAACCAAAUAAGAAAUUCAAAAAAAAAAAAAUCCAAAAAAUCCCCAAUAGCUGAAACUGGGGCAGAGAGUUUAUUUCACUUUUGAAAGAGUCGAUUCCAAGAGUUGUAAGUCCACAACCCCUCAUUUUGAGUCCAUUUUGAGCCUUCAUGCCGACCCUUCUUUCCAACCCUAUCCAAAAUUCUUUCAAAUAAAGACCUCCCAAUAUGCCUUUAAGAAUGCCAAGAGAAGCAUGCAAUGAGCAAUGGUUGUCACACGACAUAGAACACUGUCAAGUUGCUCAAAAAAGUAAGAAAAAGAAAAAGAAAAAGAAAAAGAAAAAUGAGAGAGUCUUACUAGUGAAAACCCUCACGGGCACAAUAAGGCGACGGUAAGUAGAGAUGAAUAAAUGAGAGAGACUUGUUGGUGAAAACCCCUCGGGGCAUCGCUAGUCAGUAGUGAGUUGUGAAGCUGAUGCAAAAAUUGACACGACAAGCCCAACUUCAAAGGUCGUAAGAAUGGUAAAAUGGAAGAUUGAAUUAGUUUGAUAGAUCGGCCAUUAAGUUCAAAAUGCAUGUCAUGAUCAUUAAGGCUAGUUAUUGAAAAAAAAGAAAAAAAAAGAAAAAAAACCCUUCCUUCUAUCCUUCCCGACAGAGACAUUUCUUGUUAACAUUAGUUCUUUGCAUCACUUGUGUCCUCCACUCUGAGUCAGUCCUUGUCAAAACAAGCAAGAAAAAAUUUCAAAAUCUGCUACCAGCUUUUCAGUUGCACAAAGUAAAUUUGGCCAGCACACUCAGUUGUUACUGUCAAUGAGCCUUGAGGAUUCAUACAAAGGUUCCCCCAAAAAAGACUCUUGUCAGCCUACUUGAUGUAAGCAAAGAUGACUGGUGAUUCUCUCUGACAUACAAAUUGCUCAAAAAGCAAGAAGUCAUUCAAGAUAUCAGAAAAGGUCACCUAAGCAAAAAUCUCCAGUUGGGAUAGGGCUGAUUGAGCCACAAGUACAAAUGAUACUAGGUGUGAAACAAUUAGGGUUGAUGCAGAGCAAAAGUCUCUUGAAGCCGACUCAAGCUGAUUAAGUAGAAGCCAAGCUGCCCAAGACUCAGGGCCACAAACCGACUACCAUUUUCAAAACUGACAAAUUUUUCUUUGUUUGAAACAGGAACAAAGCGGUGCAAGGAAAGUAAUUCAAAAAGAGAAAAAAUGAAAAAAGAAAAAAAACAACAAAAAAAAGAAAGAAAGAAGAAAAAGAAAAGACGAGAAGAGCCAACAAAGGAAAGUUUCUCAAAUAUUUGCCUUUAUUUGUCUUGCUAUUGUGCAUAAAAUCUUGCCAUUGAUCUAUACAUUUUUCCUCCUAGGAUAAAAAGUCCUAGUCUGAUGGAUUUUCCUCCCAAUCGAAAUCUUAGUCGGAUGAAUUUUGUCCUAAGGUAAGACCUAGUCUGAUGAACUUUCUCCUAGGAUCAAAAUCUUAGUCUGAUGAAUUUUUCUCCUAAGAUAGAAGACCUAGUCUGAUGAACUUUCUCCUAGGAUAAAAAUCUUAGUCUGAUAAAUUCUUCUCCUAAGAUAGAAGACCUAGUCUGAUGAACUUUCUCCUAGGAUAAAAAUCUUAGUCCGAUGAAUCUUUCUCCUAAGAUAGAAGACCUAGUAUGAUGAACUUUCUCCUAGGAUCAAAAUCUUAGUCUGAUGAAUCUUUCUCCUAAGAUACCAAAAAAAGUGACCUAGUCUGAUGAAUUUUCUCCUAGGAUCAAAAUCUUAGUCUGAUGAAUCUUUCUCCUAAGAUACCAAAAAGAGACCUAAUCUGAUGAACUUUUCUUCUAGGAUCAAAAUCUUAGUCUGAUGAAUUUUUCUCCUAAGAUAGAAAACCUAGUCCGAUGAAUUUUAUCCUUGGAUAAUAAUUAAAAAAAAGGAAGUCUGAAUUCGAAAAAAAAGGGAAGUCUGGAUUUGAAAAAAAGGGUCAAUUUUUAGUUUUCUUGAAAUCAGGGGUCCCGCCUGGAGAAUAGAGUCAGUCUUUACUUUAGUCAAG
rnacentral:lncRNA from 1 species